rnacentral:lncRNA from 1 species
CUUGUGCACUUUCGCCAUGCCAUGCUUCAUUAAACCGGACAUGCAUCAUACUUGGUUGUGCAUCAUGCCAUGUUUAUGUCGUGGUUGUUUACUAUGUUGUUUGCUUCUUUCCGGUGUGCUUCUUCGGGUUGGUACCGAUAACGUCGUGUGGUGAGGAUUCGUUCGACUUCGUCCGUUUGCCUUCUUCAUGGACUCAUUCUGCUUCCUUGCGGGAUCUCAGGCAAGAUGACCAUACCCUCGAAAUCACUUCUAUCUUUGCUUGCUAGUUGCUCGCUCUUUUGCUAUGCCUAUGCCACGAUACCUACCACUUGCUUAUCAUGCCUCCCAUAUUGUUGAGCCAAGCCUCUAACCCACCUUGUCCUAUCAAACCGUUGUUUGGCUAUGUUACCGCUUUGCUCAGCCCCUCUUAUAGCGUUGUUAGUUGUAGGUGAAGAUUGGAGUUUGUUCCUUGUUGGAACAUGGAUACUUUUGUUGGGAUAUCACAAUAUCUCUUAUUUAAUUAAUGCAUCUAUACACUUGGUAAAGGGUGGAAGGCUCGGCCUUAUGCCUGGUGUUUUGUUCCACUCUUGCCGCCCUAGUUUCCGUCAUAUCGGUGUUAUGUUCCCGGAUUUUGCGUUCCUUACACGGUUGGGUUAUAAUGGGAACCCCUUGGCAGUUCGCCUUGAAUAAAACUCCUCCAGCAAUGCCCAACAUUGGUUUUACCAUUCGCCACCUAGCCUCUUUUUCCCUUGGGUUCCGCGGACUCAAGGGUCAUCUUUAUUUAAACCCCCCUGGGCCAGUGCUCCUCUGAGUGUUGGUCCGACCGAGUAGACUGCGGGGCCACCUCGGGGCAACUUGAGGGUUGGUUUUACUCGUAGGAUGUCUCAUCUGAGUGUGCCCUGAGAACGAGAUAUGUGCAACUCCUAUCGGGAUUUGUCGGCACAUUCGGGCGGUGUUGCUAGACUUGUUUUACCAUUGCCGAGGAUGUUUUGUAACCAGGAUGCCGAGUCUGAUCGGAUUGUCUUGGGAGAAGGAAUAUCCUUCGUUGACCGUGAUAGCUUGUGAUGGGCUAAGUUGGGACACCCCUGCAGGGAUUUGAACUUUCAAAAGCCGUGCCCGCGGUUAUGGGCAGAUGGGAAUUUGUUAAUGUCUGAUUGUACAAAACCUAAAGUUGAUCUUAAUUAAAAUACACCAACUGCGUGUGUUACCGUGACGGUCUCUUCUCGGCGGAGUCCGGGAAGCGAACACGGUGUUGGAUUUAUGCUUGACGUAGGUUGUUCUAGGAUCACUUCUUGAUCAUAGUUGUUCGACCGUGCUUUUGCCUUCUCUUCUCGCUCUUAUUUGCGCAUGUUAGCCACCAUAUAUGCUAGUCGCUUGCUGCAGCUCCACCUCAUACCUUUUACCCUUGCUAUAAGCUUAAAUAGUCUUGAUCGCGAGCGUGUGAGAUUGCUGAGUCCCCGUGACUCACAGAUACUUCCAAAAGCAGCUUGCAGGUGCCGAUGAGAACGUGCAGGUGACGCAUCCAAGCUCAAGGAGGAGCUCGAUGAAGCUCUUGUCCUUUGUGUUGUUUCGUUCUAGUUGAUCAUUAGUGAAGCCCAGUCGGGACGAUCGGGGAUCUGUGUAGCAUUUGGGGUAGUCUUCUUUUAUUUUGGUUCCGUAGUCGGACCUUGAGUGUAUUUGGAUGAAUGUAAUGCUUUAUUCCUGUAUUGUGUGAAGUGGCGAUUGUAAGCCAACUAUGUAUCUUUUUCCCUUAUGUAUUACAUGGGUUGUGUGAAG